CGGAGGGAAGCAAAGCCAGCAGGGUCUGGAGGAAGUGGGCACAAAGAAGGCCGGUGGCAGAACUGAGCAGGCACCAUGCAAACGCAGAGGACGUCACGGCGCAGCAUCCCACGUGCGGGCCAGCUGUGGACUGGUCCGUUCCUGUGCUCGUCCAGAGUUCGUUGCCUGAUUGUACCUGGGACGUGGCUGGCUCUGACGGCCUGGCAGUGUCGUCAUACCAGGCGCCCCCACUCACGUGGUGACCACCAGCACCCGCAGAGACCACUGCAUUCCCGACAUCCUCCCUGAAUAGCACCAGGCAGGCUUACCGUGGCCGCAUGUGGAGCCAGGUGAGGGCGGUAAAGGCCCUCUGUGAGCUGGACAGCUGACCGUCCUGCCCGGGCGA